AGUAAGACUCCUUGGCAGAGCUCUCAAUGCUCUUUAACCAGUGCCAAGCAGUCACAAGGGUGCUGGACUUCACUCAAGUCAUCAAGCCUGAUCUCAUAGGAAGGGCCAUCUAGGACUCUUCUGUUGCCAGGGAUGUCUGCCUGUGGUCCUUAGGUUAGAGCAGAAAGGAGAGAAAGUAGCUCGUGGUGAAAACAGAAGUCACCAAGGGCCUACUACAUGGAAAUACUUGCUGCCAAUUCUAAUUCACAAGUUCAGAUGCACCUGAGGACAACCCAAUCCAAAGCAUCCCAUGCAGGAACCAGGCCCUCUCACCCAGAGCUGUCAGAAAGGCCACUUGGGAAUCACUGCGGUGCCCAACUGAAGAUUUCUGACCACUUCAACCUGGUGGAUUCUGGUGCUUAAUCCUGAAUCCAAAGAAAUAAAAUGAGCUGUGAAGAAAGAACU
rnacentral:lncRNA from 1 species